CCUACGGGAGGCAGCAGUGGGGAAUAUUGCGCAAUGGGGGGAACCCUGACGCAGCAACGCCGCGUGAGUGAAGAAGGUCUUCGGAUCGUAAAGCUCUGUCAUCGGGGACGAAGAAUGACGGUACCCGAAGAGGAAGCCCCGGCUAACUACGUGCCAGCAGCCGCGGUAAUACGUAGGGGGCGAGCGUUGUCCGGAAUUACUGGGCGUAAAGGGUGCGUAGGCGGCCUGAUAAGUCAGGUGUGAAAUACCAGGGCUCAACUCUGGGGGUGCACUUGAAACUGUCGGGCUUGAGUGCAGGAGAGGAAAGCGGAAUUCCUAGUGUAGCGGUGAAAUGCGUAGAUAUUAGGAGGAACACCAGUGGCGAAGGCGGCUUUCUGGACUGUAACUGACGCUGAGGCACGAAAGCGUGGGUAGCGAACAGGAUUAGAUACCCCAGUAGUC
rnacentral:rRNA from 2 species